rnacentral:rRNA from 1 species
CGUCAGACUUCCAAGAAAAGCUCGCAAUGUCAUAAAUAAAGAAUGCCUGUACCAUAACCGACACAGGUGGGUAGGUAGAGUAUACUAAGGGGCGCGAGAUAACUCUCUCUAAGGAACUCGGCAAAAUGACUCCGUAACUUCGGGAGAAGGAGUGCCUUAUUUAUAAGGUUGCAAUAACAAGAUCCAAGCAACUGUUUAUCAAAAACACAGGUCUCCGCUAAGUCGUAAGACGAUGUAUGGGGGCUGACGCCUGCCCAGUGCCAGAAGGUUAAAGAAGUUGGUUAGUGUAUGCGAAGCUGAUGACUGAAGCCCUGGUGAACGGCGGCCGUAACUAUAACGGUCCUAAGGUAGCGAAAUUCCUUGUCGGGUAAGUUCCGACCCGCACGAAAGGCGUAAUGAUUUGGAUACUGUCUCGGAGAGAGGCUCGGCGAAAUAGACUUGUCUGUGAAGAUGCGGACUACCUGCACCAGGACAGAAAGACCCUAUGAAGCUUUACUGUAACUUGAAAUUGGAAUUGGACUUUGCUUGCGCAGUAUAGGUGGGAAGCGUUGAAGAUAUUCUUGCGGGAGUAUUGGAGCUAUCAGUGAGACACCACUCUUGUAAUGUUAGAUUUCUAACUUUGAACCAUAAUCUGGUCAAAGAACAGUUUCAGGUGGGCAGUUUGACUGGGGCGGUCGCCUCCCAAAUGGUAACGGAGGCGUACAAAGGUUUCCUCUGAACGGAUAGAAAUCGUAUCUAGAGUGUAAAGGCAUAAGGAAGCUUGACUGUGAGACCUACAAGUCGAGCAGGGACGAAAGUCGGUCUUAGUGAUCUGACGGUACUGAGUGGAAAGGCCGUCACUCAACGGAUAAAAGUUACUCUAGGGAUAACAGGCUGAUCUCCCCCAAGAGUUCACAUCGACGGGGAGGUUUGGCACCUCGAUGUCGGCUCAUCGCAUCCUGGGGCGGUAGUACGUCCCAAGGGUUGGGCUGUUCGCCCAUGAAAGCGGUACGCGAGCUGGGUUCAGAACGUCGUGAGACAGUUCGGUCCAUAUCCGGUGUAGGCGUUAGAAUAUUGAGAGGAGCCUUCUUUAGUACGAGAGGACCGAGAAGGACACACCGCUGGUGUACCAGUUAUCGUGCCAACGGUAAACGCUGGGUAGCUAUGUGUGGAGUGGAUAACCGCUGAAAGCAUCUAAGUGGGAAGCCCACCUCAAGAUGAGUAUUCUCAU